UACGUAGGGUGCGAGCGUUAAUCGGAAUUACUGGGCGUAAAGUGUGCGCAGGCGGCCGCGCAAGUCGAGUGUGAAAGCCCCCGGCUUAACUGGGGAGGGUCAUUCGAUACUGUUCGACUCGAAGGCAGGAGAGGGAAGUGGAAUUCCCGGUGUAGUGGUGAAAUGCGCAGAUAUCAGGAGGAACACCGGUGGCGAAGGCGGGUCUCUGGGCCAUAACUGACGCUGAGGAGCGAAAGCGUGGGGAGCGAACAGG
rnacentral:rRNA from 1 species